AGCUCUGGCAAGAGAAGAAGGUCUAAGAAGUCCAAGCUGUCCAUAGACAAGUCCACAGAGACAGAUAAUGGCUAUGUGUCUCUGGAUGGGAGGAUAACCUGUAAGAGUAGUGAGGAGAGGCUCCAGCUCCAUGAUGGAGGAUCUCACCACUGUGACCUGCUGCUGAGGUCAGACGAGACGUGUUGGACCGCACCCCCGCCUCCCAACACUCUGCUGCUGCCCCCCGUCACCAAGGUAAACAACAAGGUAACACACACAUUUAUACACACACACACCACCACGCAACACACUGCUACUUCCCCACAGUCAGCAAGGUAAACAACAAGGUAACACACACAUUUAUACACACACACACACCAUCACACAACACACUGCUACUUCCCCACAGUCAUCAAGGUAAACAACAAGGUAACACACACAUUUAUACACACACACACCAUCACACAACACACUGCUACUUCCCCACAGUCAGCAAGGUAAACAACAAGGUAACACACACAUUUAUACACACACACACACCAUCACACAACACACUGCUACUUCCCCACAGUCAUCAAGGUAAACAACAAGGUAACACACACACACACCAUCACACAACACAGGUAUACACAAGGUAUCACAUACACAUGGUUAGCAGAUGUUAUUGCGAGUGUAGUGAAAUGCUUAUGCUUCUAGAUCUGGCAGUGCAGCAGUAUCUAACAGGUAAUAUCUAACAAGUCCACAACUAAACAUAAUACACACAGUCUAGUAAAGGAAUAAGAAUAUAUAAGUAUAAAAUAUAUGGAUGAGCAGUGACAGAGCGGCUAAGAUGCAAUAGAGAGUAUAGAAUAGAUAGUGUAGGAUACAGUAUACAUUAUAUACAUAUGAGAUGAGUAAUGCGAGAUAUGUAAACAUUCUUAAAGUGGCAUUAUUAAUGUGACAAGUGUUCCGUUUAUUAAAGUGGCCAAUGAUAUCAAGUCUGUAGGUAGGCAGCCACCUCUCUGUGUUAGUGAUGGCUGUUUAACGAUCUGAUGGCCUUGAGAUAGAAGCUGUUUUUCCAUCUCUCGGUCCCAGCUUUGAUGCACCUGUACUGACCUCACUUUCUGGAUGUUAGCGGGGUGAACAGGCAGUGGCUCGGGUGGUUGCUGUUUGCUGAAGUCCACGAUCAUCUCUUUUGUUUUGCUGACAUUGAGUGUG
rnacentral:lncRNA from 1 species